rnacentral:tRNA from 1 species
GAUUAUAGCUCAAUGGUAGAGCACUUGCCUAGUAUGCAUGAGGCACUGGGUUCAAUCCCAGACCA